rnacentral:rRNA from 1 species
GCCGCGUGAAGGAUGAGGCCCUCUGGGUUGUAAACUUCUUUUAUCUGGGACGAAAAAAGGGCAUUCUUGCUCACUUGACGGUACCAUAGGAAUAAGCACCGGCUAACUCCGUGCCAGCAGCCGCGGUAAUACGGAGGGUGCAAGCGUUAUCCGGAUUCACUGGGUUUAAAGGGUGCGUAGGUGGGCAGGUAAGUCAGUGGUGAAAUCUCCGAGCUUAACUCGGAAACUGCCAUUGAUACUAUCUGUCUUGAAUAUCCUGGAGGUGAGCGGAAUAUGUCAUGUAGCGGUGAAAUGCUUAGAUAUGACAUAGAACACCAAUUGCGAAGGCAGCUCACUACGGGAUUAUUGACGCUGAGGCACGAAAGCGUGGGGAUCAAACAGGAUUAGAUACCCUGGUAGUCCACGCCCUAAACGAUGGAUACUCGACAUUUGCGAUACACUGUAUGUGUCUGAGCGAAAGCAUUAAGUAUCCCACCUGGGAAGUACGACCGCAAGGUUGAAACUCAAAGGAAUUGACGG